AAAUUUUCUUAAGGGACAUUUGGUAUGAGAUGAUCAUUUCAAGAUUCAGGAUGAUGUGUAAAGAUGGUGAGAUCACCGUGGUGCAACUGGUUUGGUAUGAGAUGAUCAUUUCAAGAUUCAGGGUGAUGUGUAGAGGUGGUGAGAUUACCGUAUUUGGUUGCACCACAGUGAUCCUACAUGGCAAUGAUUUUAAAUCAUCCUCACUC
rnacentral:lncRNA from 1 species